GGGGCCCUGCGCUGUUUGUGAUGUCGGGGGAAAGUUUCAACCUCGAUACACAAGAGGACGCCGCUCACGAGGGUGGUGCGCAUGCCCCUCUUUGGAGGGGAAGCCUGAAGCCCUCCAUUUUGGCGCCCACCUGGCUUGCCAGGUUCGAAACACCGUCGGCACACGGCAGAGGCGGGGCGCCU
rnacentral:other from 1 species